AUUGAACGCUGGCGGCAUGCCUUACACAUGCAAGUCGGACGAGUGGCGGACGGGUGAGUAACAUAUCGGAACGUACCGAGUAAUGGGGGAUAACUACUCGAAAGGUUAGCUAAUACCGCAUACUAUCAGAGCGGCCGAUAUCUGAUUAGCUGGUUGGUGGGGUAACGGCUUACCAAGGCGACGAUCAGUAGCGGGUCUGCGAGGAUGAGCCGCCACACGGGGACUGAGACACGGCCCAGACUCCUACGGGAGGCAGCAGUGGGGAAUUGUGGACAAUGGGCGCAAGCCUGAUCCAGCCAUGCCGCGUGUAUGAAGAAGGCCCUAGGGUUGUAAAGUACUUUCAGGCGGGAGGCGUUACCGACAGAAGAAGCACCGGCUAACUCCGUGCCAGCAGCCGCGGUAAUUC
rnacentral:rRNA from 1 species